GACGAACGCUGGCGGCGUGCUUAACACAUGCAAGUCGAACGGAAAGGCCCUGCUUUUGUGGGGUGCUCGAGUGGCGAACGGGUGAGUAACACGUGAGUAACCUGCCCUUGACUUUGGGAUAACUUCAGGAAACUGGGGCUAAUACCGGAUAGGAGCUCCUGCUGCAUGGUGGGGGUUGGAAAGUUUCGGCGGUUGGGGAUGGACUCGCGGCUUAUCAGCUUGUUGGUGGGGUAGUGGCUUACCAAGGCUUUGACGGGUAGCCGGCCUGAGAGGGUGACCGGCCACAUUGGGACUGAGAUACGGCCCAGACUCCUACGGGAGGCAGCAGUGGGGAAUAUUGCACAAUGGGCGGAAGCAGGAUGCAGCAACGCCGCGUGCGGGAUGACGGCCUUCGGGUUGUAAACCGCUUUCGCCUGUGACGAAGCGUGAGUGACGGUAAUGGGUAAAGAAACACCGGCUAACUACGU
rnacentral:rRNA from 1 species